rnacentral:rRNA from 1 species
CGCCUUGCCAGCCCGCUCAGAAACUUAAAGGAAAGUUGACGGGGCCCGCACAAGCGGAGGAGCAUGUGGUUAAUUCGAUGAUACGCGAGGAACCUUACCUGGGCUCGAACGUAAGAUGACUGUAGGUGAAAGCUUACAUCUCUUCGGAGCAUUUUACGAGGUGCUGCAUGGUUGUCGUCAGCUCGUGCCGUGAGGUGUCGGGUUAAGUCCCAUAACGAGCGCAACCCCUACCUUUAGUUGCCAUCAGGUUAAGCUGGGGACUCUAAAGGAACUGCCUACGCAAGUAGUGAGGAAGCGGGGAUGACGUCAAAUCAGCACGGCCCUUACGUCCAGGGCUACACACGUGCUACAAUGGCCGAUACAGAGGGCAGCUACCUGGUGACAGGAUGCAAAUCUCCAAAGUCGGUCUCAGUUCGGAUCGGAGUCUGCAACCCGACUCCGUGAAGUUGGAUUCGCUAGUAAUCGCGCAUCAGCCAUGGCGCGGUGAAUACGUUCCCGGGCCUU